rnacentral:lncRNA from 1 species
GUUUUUCUUAAAUUCAUAUCUUUUAUAAUCUAAAGUUUAUUUGAAAUUUAUUUAUUUUAAUAAGAAAAAUGUGAUAUGAGUAGUAAAAAUUUGUGGAUAAACAUUUAAGGAGGGAAUUUCUCGAAUUCUAUAAAAUAUAGUUGUGUCAUGGUGCACCAUAAAUUUUGAUGUUUCAACAUGAUGAGAUUUUUCAUAUUGGUCAAAUCUUUUAUAUUUUUUCCUUAUCUUGAUCUCCUGUCUUUUCCUUAGUGAUAUGAGCUCUUUCAUUGUUAAACAUGUGACUUUGGUGAGCAAAAAGAUCAUUGAUUUUCAUAGAAAAUCAUUUAUAUUUUUUUAAGUUUCUCAUUCAAAUGCCAGAUCGAAAAUUUUAAAAGCUUAUACAAAACCCUUUUUGGUCUUGCAUUCUUUGUAAAAAUUCACUAUAUUCUUCGGAAGAUUAAGAUUUGUAGCUUUGAAGAAAGUUCAACAGCUUCAAAUCAAAAAGGUGAGUCAUGCUUGUUGAACCAAUCCAAGAAGUGGUUAUACACAAUAUUGUCAAUGUUUAAGAGAGUGUCCUUCUUUGUCUAAGUACAAAUGUAUCUGAAAUCUUUUAACUUGGUAGAUUAUUCAAUAGUUGAAUAUGGCCCUGCCGAUAUGGGCAGUUGCCAAUCUACAUCAAUCGUAUUAUUUACACUUUUUGCUUAUGAAUCUAGCAUUAAUUAGUUUCAGUAUAAUUGCAAAAAGGGUCUAAAACUUGGUACGAGAGCAAAUUUCGGACAUCUAUUUAGUCAUAUUAUUGUGUUUAAUCGAUUUGUUUUAACAGGCAUGCAUUCUACAAGAACAGGGAUCAUUUACUUGUCCGCUACUAGAUGGGCCGAACUAUGGUGUUAUAGUUUGACCCAAAAUUUUAAUCGAUAUUGGAAUUUUGGUUGAAGUGGUUUUGAAUAAAUCAAAAUUAUGGAUCAGGAACAAAAGUUGUCGCAUUUUCGUUAGCCUACUAGUUGAUUGCUCGAGCGAUGCCUGCAUAUUUUCUACUGAGACUUGUCACUCGCUUGGCACUCGAGCAGUGGAGCUAUCGCCCACCUAACACUAGCCUAUCGCUUAAGCGAUAGGGUCAUCCGGUCAAGCCCAUUUCGCCUUUGAUGUGUUCUUUGGACUCAUAUUCUUUCAUCUACUACUUGAUUUGUAGAAAUUAUAUAUAUAAGUCAUGGCUUGUAUUGUUUCAAGAACAUUCAAUGACAUCUUGAGAGCUAGGAAGCUUAAAUUUCAAUUGAGAAUAUCGAGGUCUUGAUAUUGUAAACACAAUUACUAUUGAUUAUAGUGAAUUUUUCCUCGUAUGCAUGUGAUUUUUUCCCAGCUUGAGUUUUCACAUAAAUCUUAGUAUUCUUAGUUUGUUCUUAUUUAUUUCAUUAUUAUCAUUAUCUUGUGAUCAAUUCAUAAUAAGUGAUAUUAGAGCGAGAUUGAUUAUUUCGCAUGACAACGAUGAAAUGUGAUAUUCUAUUAUUGAAUCAAAACUUGAGAUUUACUUUAUGGCAAGUAAACAAGCGAGCAAUCUCGCACAGAUGGAUUUGGAGAAAGCUUUGCUUGGCUUUGAUAAGUAGUCUUCAAUUUAGACGCAAAAUGAAAAGCAACGUAGGGAUCAGAAAGCCCAAUUUUAAAUUCAUUUACAUUUAUCAAAUCAAAUUCUUCAUGAUGUUCUAAAGAAGAAAGAUGUCGCUGUGUUGUGGUCCAAAUUGGAGCAACUUUGUCUAACAAAGAGCUUGACCAGCAACUUACACUUGAAACAGCGCAUGUAUUCUCACCGGAUGUCCGAAGGUAUGCCAUUGAAUAAUCACUUAACUGUGUCCAAAGAAAUCGUGGCCAAUUUGGAGACAUUGAAAAUUAAGUAUGAUGAGAAGGACUUAAUGUUGAUGUUGUUGUAUUUACUGCCGCCAUCAUAUGUGAUUUUUUAGAGGUACUAUUCUCUAUAGUUCUCU